GGCGGACGGGUGAGUAAUGUCUGGGAAACUGCCUGAUGGAGGGGGAUAACUACUGGAAACGGUAGCUAAUACCGCAUAACGUCGCAAGACCAAAGAGGGGGACCUUCGGGCCUCUUGCCAUCGGAUGUGCCCAGAUGGGAUUAGCUUGUUGGUGGGGUAACGGCUCACCAAGGCGACGAUCCCUAGCUGGUCUGAGAGGAUGACCAGCCACACUGGAACUGAGACACGGUCCAGACUCCUACGGGAGGCAGCAUG
rnacentral:rRNA from 1 species